UGGGGAAUCUUGGACAAUGGGCGCAAGCCUGAUCCAGCCAUGCCGCGUGAGUGAAGAAGGCCUUAGGGUUGUAAAGCUCUUUCGCCCGCGAAGAUAAUGACGGUAGCGGGAGAAGAAGCCCCGGCUAACUCCGUGCCAGCAGCCGCGGUAAUACGGAGGGGGCUAGCGUUGUCCGGAGUCACUGGGCGUAAAGCGCGCGUAGGCGGCCCGUUAAGUUGGGUGUGAAAGCCCGGGGCUCAACCCCGGAUGCGCAUCCGAGACUGGCGGGCUGGAGUCCGAGAGAGGGCGGCGGAAUUCCCAGUGUAGAGGUGAAAUUCGUAGAUAUUGGGAAGAACACCGGUGGCGAAGGCGGCCGCCUGGCUCGGAACUGACGCUGAGGCGCGAAAGCGUGGGGAGCAAACAGG
rnacentral:rRNA from 1 species